rnacentral:lncRNA from 1 species
AUGAACACAUGCAGACACACAUAUACACAGAAACAAACAAAUACAUAAAAAUUAAGGAAAAUAUAACUUUCAAAAUUCAACAAAUUUAUAUCGAGUGUUAUUAGGACAUUUGACUGACUUCAAAUGCUCAAUAAAUUGUGAUGAUUGUCAUCUCAAAAACUAAACCACAGUUACAGAAAAAAAAUGUAUAUUUGACAACAAACCCAGUACAUUAUUAUCCUUGUGCUUGAAGUGCCUGGCAACAUACCAUAGGUUCUUUAGGUAUGCUUUGCUUUGGCCGGUUUUCCAGCAUCCUCCUCUCCCAAUCUAUUUCCCGUCCUGAUGCAGAGACUUCUGGUUCUUGGUAAGCCAGCACUCUGCAUAAUCAGAGGAUUUAUUGUAAUUAUAGGGGAAGGACAUAACCGUGAACUCCAUAUGAGUAUUCUCAACAUCCCUCUCCCAAGCAAAGGCAUAAAAUAAACAAACAUCAAUAUUGUGACUUUGUUACUUCAUUAUUUGAUUCUCUUCUCUAUUUCCCUUCUUUGUUUUUCCCCAGUACUAGGUAUUGAUAAUUGGGCAGUCUAAACACUCUACCACUGAGUUAUAUUCAAAGCUCCUUGUUGAUUCUUGAAUACUUAUCUCUGUGAUUUUCUGAGUUCUCCAACUUGUCUCAAAUUAAAAACUAAAAUAAUAACAAAAAAAAAACUUAGAUCAGUAAACACUCAAGUGAAUAAGUUCCAAUAUGAUAGCUCCUUUUCAAGAUUUGUGUGUGUGUGUGUGUGUGUGUGUGUGUGUGUAUAAAUGCUCAAAAGUACAGUGCCCACAUUAUCCGUUGCCAGAGGAGACAGCUCCCUCUUGACUUGAGAGCUGUUCUAUAUGAGUGCUGGGAAGUGAACUUGGGUAUUAUAGAAGAGCAGAAUAUAUUCUGAGCUAUGUUUCCAGGCCAAUUUGCAUUUCAAUGAAGUAAUUUUGUCAAUAAAUAAAUGUAUAGUGUAAAUAUGUUACAAUGGAAGAAAUGAAAUGUGCUAGAUAAAACAUUCUUUCUUUAACGAAAGCUCAACAUUAGAACAAUUCAGUUAAAUGAGUUUGUUUCAUAAGAUUGUCCUUGUGUGGACAUAUACAACAGACAAAGCAUGAAUGGAUGAGUUAUAGUUUAAUUCUUCAUGUGUGAAUUAUUUCCAACAGGUUUACUACCAGAAUAUGUAAGAUACAAUUUGUAAAUGUCAGAGAACAUGUUUUCUUAUAGCCAUGUAAAAUCUAGUUAUUUGAAGACACACCGAAACAGAUGCUGUGUUGCAUAUAAAUUAUUGGUCAGGAGUAUCUGACAAAUUAAAUUUUCCACUUCAUGAAGCAGGCAGACAUACUCUUUGCUGCUGAUGACACACAAUCCCUGUGCACUAGAACUCAACACACUUGUGAUACAGUAGCGGAGACUAGACACGUGACUAGAAAGAUGAUAAAGAUUGAGAACAGAGAUCUAAGAAACAAAAACAAGAUUCUGAUAUCUUUUUUGAUAACUUCUCUCUACACAUAUGCAAUCAUUUGCAUAUGCAAGCAUGCAUACAGGAACACACACACAUAUACAGAAAUGUGAAUUUUCACCAUAGACCCUAACUUUACUUCUCAGAGAAAGACCACUGUCUCCCAAGGAAAAUAAGCGACCGAUAGCAGCACACAGUUGCAUCGACCACAUUUGUCACCAUAAAAAUAUUUAGUUAGCUUAUGAAGUACUCCAUUUAAAAUGUUUUAUUCUUUAAAUCAUAAAUAAAAAUUAAUGGUAUAUUACUUAUCUUGAAAUGUUUAAAAUGUUUUAAGUUUUUAAUUUUUAUCAGUAUUUACAUGCCAAAAACUAAUCAAUAGCAAAGAUAUAAUAUCAAAAAUAGAAUAUUUCUAAAAUGUCCCUCCAAAUUUAUUCAUAAGAACUCUGAAAUUAGAGACAGUAGAGACAUGAUGAUUCUUGACUUCUGAAGUUCUUUGAGGUAGAAACAAUUAUGCCCUACUAAAUAGUCAGACUUAGUGCAGUUAAAGAUCCAGAUCUCAAAUUCCAUGAUUAUCUAAUUAGCUACUUCUUGUACUCCUGAUUUGAUUUUUAUGGUACUGUGACAACCUCUAUUCCUAAUGCAUGUUCCUCAAUAUUCAGGUAGCAUACUGACUAGACACAACCCUUUCUUACUCUGUGCUUUAAUUUAACCAUGAUGGAGAUCGG